AAUGAACGCUGGCGGCGUGGAUAAGACAUGCAAGUCGAACGGAGUUAGCAAUAAGCUUGCUUAAGGCAAACUCAGUGGCGAACGGGUGAGUAACACGUGAAUAAUCUGCCUUGAAGUGAGGGAUAGCCCUGGGAAACUAGGAUUAAUACCGCAUGUGGUCGAGAGACUAAAGCAGCAAUGCGCUUUAAGAUGAGUUCGCGUCCUAUUAGCUAGUUGGUGAGGUAACUGCUCACCAAGGCCUUGAUAGGUAGCCGGUCUGAGAGGAUGUCCGGCCACACUGGAACUGAGACACGGUCCAGACACCUACGGGUGGCAGCAGUCGAGAAUCAUUCACAAUGGGGGCAAACCUGAUGGUGCGACGCCGCGUGGGGGAAGAAUGUCUUCGGAUUGUAAACCCCUGUCAUGUGGGAGUAAGCUAGUGAUAGUUGAUAGUACCACAAGAGGAAGAGACGGCAAACUCUGUGCCAGCCGCCGCAGUAA
rnacentral:rRNA from 1 species